GCCUGCAGGAGUUCAGCGCCCUCACUGAGCAGAAGGUGUCGCUCUUCUUCCAGAAGGAUGAGGUCAGAUGGGAGACCCCAAUGCAAGGCUGGAAGUGAGGCAUCAUGGGCACGGCAGGAAAUGCACGUCAGAUCUGCACAAGAUGGCCUUUCCUCUGCCUUUCCCCCCAGGGAACCAGGGGGCAGGAUACCAGAGGCCAGAGGGUUGUUGUGAAGAACAAGAGACAAUAUAUGAUGGAGAACUCAUGAUGAAGCAUACUAUCCACCCCUUGACAGAGAAGUGAUGGAGUACAGAUUGAGACAUAUUUUUGACACUUGGCCAGUUUGGAAAUUGUUUUUGUUUGACGAUGUCUAUUUGUUACAAGGGUUUUGUUUUUCUAUUUUUUUUCCAUGGUGGGGAGAGAAAAUGGGCUUUUGUUCACUGGAAAAGAAGGUAUUAAGUAAAGGAA